UACGUAGGGGGCAAGCGUUGUCCGGAUUUAUUGGGCGUAAAGAGCGUGUAGGCGGCCAGACAGGUCUGCUGUGAAAACUCGAGGCUCAACCUCGAGAUGUCGGCGGAAACCGUCUGGCUAGAGUCCGGAAGAGGAGAGUGGAAUUCUUGGUGUAGCGGUGAAAUGCGCAGAUAUCAGGAAGAACACCGGUGGCGAAGGCGGUUCUUUGGGCAUUACCU
rnacentral:rRNA from 1 species